rnacentral:tRNA from 1 species
GGGGUUGUGGCUCAAUGGUAGAGCACUUACCUAGCAUGUGUGAAGCCCUGGGUUCAAUUCUCAGCACCACA